rnacentral:rRNA from 1 species
UUGACCUCGGAUCAGGCAGGGGUACC